rfam:Frankia sp. ETN1f ctg00356, whole genome shotgun sequence.
UUUGAGGGAGCCCAGCCACAGCGGCCGGUCGGCCGCGCGGUCCUGCCCGUACGUGGCGAUGAUCGCCUGUGCCUC